rnacentral:rRNA from 1 species
AUGAAGCUCUCACUUGCUCUCACGCUUGUACUCAUCUUCUUCUUUCUCAACACUCCACCAUUCGAGGCCAGACCACUUGGACUUGGUGCACAUACCUCUCGCCAUUACCAUCUCAGUUCGCUUGUGCAAGAACUCCUACACGCAGUAGUAGACCAUCUGCGCCUCUCUCCGCUGCCUCGCCCGGGAGCAGCAGAGGAGGCCGGAGAGGCGGCUAUGGUGAGGUACGGACCGCGACGGAGUGGGGACGGCGACGAGGAAGUCGCCCCAGGAACGCCGGGCGAUGAGUUGCGCCGGUCAGCCGCGCGCCCGCCGCCGCCGCCGCCGCCGCACUAUCGUUGGCCGGCUGGGCGGUGGGGUCCCGUCCCCGGGGUUGGUGGGUCGCGCAAGCCGUCUCGCCCUCCGGCGCCUAGUGGGAAGAAGCCGCCGCACUGGCGCCGUGCAGGUGGUGAUCGGUCCGGCCCGAGGCAGAGGCCGUUCGAUGUGUUCCACGCGCUUCGUGUGUGGAGUAGGAUGUUUGUUUAA